rnacentral:rRNA from 1 species
GACGAACGCUGGCGGCGUGCUUAACACAUGCAAGUCGAACGGUAAGGCCCUUCGGGGUACACGAGUGGCGAACGGGUGAGUAACACGUGGGUGAUCUGCCCUGCACUUCGGGAUAAGCCUGGGAAACUGGGUCUAAUACCGGAUAGGACCACUGCCUGCAUGGGUGGUGGUGGAAAGCUUUUGCGGUGUGGGAUGGGCCCGCGGCCUAUCAGCUUGUUGGUGGGGUGAUGGCCUACCAAGGCGACGACGGGUAGCCGGCCUGAGAGGGUGACCGGCCACACUGGGACUGAGAUACGGCCCAGACUCCUACGGGAGGCAGCAGUGGGGAAUAUUGCACAAUGGGCGCAAGCCUGAUGCAGCGACGCCGCGUGAGGGAUGACGGCCUUCGGGUUGUAAACCUCUUUCAGCACGGACGAAGCGCAAGUGACGGUAGGUGCAGAAGAAGGACCGGCCAACUACGUGCCAGCAGCCGCCGUAA